rnacentral:rRNA from 1 species
GAUGAACGCUGGCGGCGUGCCUAAUACAUGCAAGUCGAGCGAACGGACGAGAAGCUUGCUUUUCUGAUGUUAGCGGCGGACGGGUGAGUAACACGUGGAUAACCUACCUAUAAGACUGGGAUAACUUCGGGAAACCGGAGCUAAUACCGGAUAACAUUUUGAACCGCAUGGUUCAAAAGUGAAAGACGGUUUUGCUGUCACUUAUAGAUGGAUCCGCGCUGCAUUAGCUAGUUGGUAAGGUAACGGCUUACCAAGGCAACGAUGCAUAGCCGACCUGAGAGGGUGAUCGGCCACACUGGAACUGAGACACGGUCCAGACUCCUACGGGAGGCAGCAGUAGGGAAUCUUCCGCAAUGGGCGAAAGCCUGACGGAGCAACGCCGCGUGAGUGAUGAAGGUCUUCGGAUCGUAAAACUCUGUUAUUAGGGAAGAACAUAUGUGUAAGUAACUGUGCACAUCUUGACGGUACCUAAUCAGAAAGCCACGGCUAACUACGUG